rnacentral:rRNA from 1 species
AUGCAGCCAGGGAUGGAGCCCCUCCAAGGGAAGGAGAGCAACGGCGCCGUUCCUGACUGCAAUGGGGCUGCUGCCCCCCCUGCGAAGCAGCAGCUGCCUGAAGGGACGGACGCCCUUCGGUAUGCCAACAUCCUCCGGUCACGCAACAAAUUUGCUGAUGCUCUCCAGUUGUACAGUACCGUUCUUGACAAGGAUGGAACCAAUGUGGAGGCCCUUAUCGGAAAAGGGAUCUGCCUCCAGGCCCAGAGCCUGCCAAGGCAGGCCUUGGAUUGCUUCACCGAGGCUGUCAAGGUCGAUCCCAAGAAUGCGUGUGCUCUCACACAUUGUGGGAUGAUAUACAAAGACGAGGGUCACCUAGUUGAGGCCGCAGAGGCAUAUCAAAAAGCUCGAAGUGCGGAUCCUUCCUAUAAAGCUGCUGCGGAAUUUCUUGCUAUAGUUUUGACCGAUCUUGGAACUAGCUUGAAGCUUGCAGGCAAUACAGAAGAUGGGAUUCAAAAAUAUUGUGAAGCUCUUGAAGUGGAUAGCCACUAUGCGCCUGCUUAUUACAACCUUGGGGUGGUUUAUUCAGAGAUGAUGCAGUUUGACGUAGCUCUUACUUGUUAUGAAAAAGCUGCAUUGGAGAGACCAUUGUAUGCUGAAGCUUAUUGCAAUAUGGGGGUUAUUUACAAGAAUCGGGGAGAGCUAGACGCAGCAAUUGCCUGCUACGACAGGUGCUUGACUAUUUCCCCCAACUUUGAGAUUGCUAAGAAUAACAUGGCAAUAGCACUAACCGACUUGGGUACAAAGGUUAAAAUUGAAGGUGACAUCAAUCAAGGUGUGGCAUAUUACAAGAAAGCUCUGUUCUAUAAUUGGCACUAUGCUGAUGCAAUGUAUAAUCUUGGUGUUGCAUAUGGUGAAAUGUUGAAUUUUGAGAUGGCUAUUGUUUUUUAUGAACUUGCUCUGCACUUCAAUCCUCGCUGUGCGGAGGCAUGCAACAACCUGGGAGUAAUAUACAAGGAUAGGGAUAAUCUCGACAAAGCUGUUGAAUGUUAUCAAAUGGCCUUGUCAAUUAAGCCAAAUUUCUCCCAGUCAUUGAAUAACCUUGGAGUUGUCUAUACAGUUCAGGGCAAGAUGGAUGCUGCUGCAAGCAUGAUUGAGAAGGCCAUACUUGCAAAUCCCACUUAUGCUGAAGCAUACAAUAACUUAGGUGUUCUUUACAGAGAUGCUGGAAGUAUUACGUUAUCUGUACAGGCAUAUGAAAGAUGCCUGCAAAUUGAUCCUGAUUCACGAAAUGCCGGUCAGAACCGUUUGCUUGCCAUGAACUAUAUUGACGAGGGCUCAGAUGACAGGCUUUAUGAUGCUCACAGGGAAUGGGGAAAGCGCUUUAUGAAAUUGUAUGCACAGUAUACUAGUUGGGAUAACAUAAGAGUCGCUGAUCGUCCACUGGUCAUUGGUUAUGUGUCUCCUGAUUUUUUUACUCACUCCGUGUCUUACUUCGUUGAAGCCCCCCUUACACACCAUGAUUACACAAAUUGCAAGGUGGUCGUCUAUUCUGGUGUUGUGAAGGCAGAUGCCAAGACCCUUCGAUUCAAGGAUAAGGUGUUAAAAAAGGGCGGGGUCUGGAGAGAUAUAUAUGGUAUUGAUGAAAAGAAGGUUGCUACCUUGGUCAGAGAGGAUAAAGUGGAUAUACUUGUGGAACUUACUGGUCAUACAGCAAAUAAUAAACUAGGAACAAUGGCGUGCCGCCCUGCUCCUAUUCAGGUUACAUGGAUUGGUUACCCUAAUACGACAGGUUUACCAGCAAUUGACUACAGAAUAACAGAUUCAUUGGCUGAUUCUCCUAAUACAAACCAAAGGCAUGUUGAAGAGUUGGUGCGCCUUCCUGAAAGUUUUCUUUGUUACACUCCUUCUCCAGAAGCUGGGCCGGUUUGUCCCACACCAGCAAUUUCAAAUGGUUUCGUCACGUUUGGUAGUUUUAACAAUCUAGCAAAGAUCACACCGAAAGUUAUGCAAGUUUGGGCCAGAAUAUUAUGUGCAGUCCCUAACUCACGGCUUGUGGUUAAGUGCAAGCCAUUCUGCUGUGACAGUAUAAGACAGAAAUUUUUAUCGACACUUGAGGAGUUGGGUUUGGAGUCACUACGAGUUGAUUUACUACCACUCAUCCAUCUCAACCAUGACCACAUGCAAGCAUAUUCCUUAAUGGACAUCAGCCUAGAUACGUUUCCAUAUGCUGGGACUACCACUACAUGUGAAUCUCUUUACAUGGGGGUUCCAUGUGUUACAAUGGCUGGUUCAGUUCAUGCUCAUAAUGUUGGUGUUAGCCUACUCACUAAAGUUGGGUUGGGGAGGCUGGUUGCCAAAACGGAGGAUGAAUAUGUUAGCUUAGCAUUGGAGUUGGCAUCAGAUGUGAGUGCCUUAGAAGAACUGAGGAAGAGCCUCCGGGAACUGAUGAUAAAAUCACCAGUCUGUGACGGAGAGAGUUUCACACGUGGCCUGGAAUCUGCAUACCGAAGCAUGUGGCAUAGGUACUGUGAUGGGGAUUCACCAGCUCUCAGGCGCUUAGAAGUGUUGGCGGGCGAAGACUUGGACAAGACGGCUGUGAAACUUGCAGAUCUUAAAGCACAGAGAGUGAAUGCUACUGCUGAGGAAGAUAAUCAGUCCCCGCUAAAGAAGGCUGACGCCACGUCCAAGGGAGGCGAGCCCCAAAUAAUGGUGAACGAUGUGAGUUCUCCUGAAGGUAACCAGGCCCUCGUAACGGCGAAAGCGCAGCCCCAAAUAAUGGUGAAUGGUGGGAGUUCACCUCACUCCCCUUCGGUGAGAUGCGAAGCAAAUGGGCAUAGCAGCCGAUGA